rnacentral:rRNA from 1 species
AGGAUCAUUCGCAAUGGGGGAAACCCUGACGAUGCGACGCUGCGUGGAGGAUGAAGGCCUUCGGGUUGUAAACUCCUGUCAUGAUGGAAAAGGAGAGGGGACCCAACACGUCCCUGAUUUGAUGGUACAUCAAGAGGAAGAGACGGCUAACUCUGUGCCAGCAGCCGCGGUAAUACAGAGGUCUCGAGCGUUGUUCGGAUUUACUGGGCGUAAAGGGCGCGUAGGCGGCGCGGCGUGUCGAGUGUGAAAUCUCCGGGCUCAACCCGGAAAGUGCGCUCGAAACUGCCGUGCUCGAGUGCGGGAGAGGGAAUCGGAAUACAGGGUGUAGCGGUGAAAUGAGUUGAUAUCCUGUAGAACACCGGAUGCGAAGGCGGAUUCCUGGAACGCAACUGACGCUGAGGCGCGAAAGUCGGGGGAGCAAACA